AGGCCCUGCAGAAGGUAGGACAAAGGUCCGAACGCGGAGCCGGGGGCAAGCCCCGCGCGUCUCCCCACCUCCCAGCUCCAUCCCGGACCCCAAACCAGAGGGGCGAGGGCACGUUUGUUUUUCCAAUACGAGAGAACCGACGGAUUAUGAAGAAGCGGGCCAACCUCACGUUAAUCUUUGAGCCGAGUCUGGAGGACGUGCUCCUUUCUGACAGCCUACUUUGUCAUCGCUGCUCCCAGUCACAGCUGAAUCUGUCAACAUGAUGGCUUCACCUACUCGCCAUGCACAGCCUAGAGCUGCAAAUCCCGGUUGGAGUAGAUAAAUUCCCUGCCUCUUCGAUGGAGCUAUGGAUUUCAGGUGUUGCUUUAUGUGCUCCAGUCAAUUUGCAUGAAGCUAGUACAAGAAAGGAACCACAUCACUUACGUCUGUGAACUUUCUGGAACAAAAAUCUGGCACAUCAGUCUGUUACUUUAUCCAUUACAAUGUGAGUACCCAGUAGCAAUCUUUCUUCCAGAGCUUCUGAUCCGUAGCCAAAUGUAUGAUCCGUCAGUUGGGUCAUGUUGCAAACUUUGUGUUACAAUCAACACUUUGGAAAAUGUAUCAUCACUGUCCUAGUCUUCAGAAGCAUGAUUCCUGUGGGGUUAGGGAAAAGAAAAGCCCCCAAUAAAUCCCCUUUCCUACUGCCUUGAGCCAACCUUUUAAGCUGCUCUGUCCUUUCUGGGGUGGAUAAGUGAACACUGGGCCUUUCUGCUUUAAAAAAAAAAAAAACAACACCAUAAAAACAAGACAUGA